GGGGAUGUAGCUCAAUGGUAGAGCCUCAGUCUUCCAAACUGACCACGCGGGUUCGAUUCCCGUCAUCCCCUCCA
rnacentral:tRNA from 1 species